UACGGAGGAUGCAAGCGUUAUCCGGAUUUAUUGGGCGUAAAGCGUCCGCAGGUGGUUUUCCAAGUCCGCUGUUAAAGCGCGAGGCUUAACCUCGUACAGGCAGUGGAAACUGGAUGACUAGAGUAUGGUAGGGGUAGCGGGAAUUCCCAGUGUAGCGGUGAAAUGCGUAGAUAUUGGGAAGAACACCAGCGGCGAAAGCGCGCUACUGGGCCAUUACUGACACUCAUGGACGAAAGCUAGGGGAGCGAAAGGG
rnacentral:rRNA from 1 species